UCCUACGGGGGGCAGCAGUGAGGAAUAUUGGUCAAUGGUCGGGAGACUGAACCAGCCAAGCCGCGUGAGGGAUGAAGGUACAGAGUAUCGUAAACCUCUUUUGUCAGGGAACAAAGGCGGGGACGUGUCCCCGGAUGAGUGUACCUGAAGAAAAAGCAUCGGCUAACUCCGUGCCAGCAGCCGCGGUAAUACGGAGGAUGCGAGCGUUAUCCGGAUUUAUUGGGUUUAAAGGGUGCGCAGGCGGGAGAUAAAGUCAGCGGGAAAAUGUCGGGGCUCAAACCCGGACGG
rnacentral:rRNA from 1 species